ACAAGAACAACAACAAAAAAAAAGAAUAUAGGUGGUGAUUGGCUGACUGACCGGCUAUAUUAUAACUUAUAAAUUACAAGCGUCAUAUACCAGCUAGUUUAGAUUACUAACUUUUAAAUAGUAUAUAGCCAGUUAACAAUAAAAUAAAAGGAUUACUAUUAUUAUUCGAUUGAUGAGAAAUAUAAAACUUAUAUAAAAUAAAGUUCACAUAAACUACAAAUGAGUAUGAAUUGAAUAAAAUGUCUGAAGCUUAUAGAAUAGGUGCAAUUAAUAUUGAAAAUAAAACCGGGGUUAAUCACGAUGAAAAUUAUUGUAUAUUAAAUGUUUUAUGUGUGUUUAUUUCACUCGUAACAAUACUAGCUGAUUUAACUACAGAUAUAUUAGUCUUUGCUGAAUAUUGUCAUGACGGGCAUUAUAAUUGGGCAACAGCUACUCUAUUGUUUAUCGUGACUCCUAACAUAAUAAUAAAUAUAUUUUCUCUAAGAUGGUUUAUAAAUGACCAGAAAAUUAAUGUUCGUCAUUGGAUAACACAUGGAUGUCUUAUUGGAUUGCUGGAAAGAUAUGUAAUAUUUUUGUAUAAAGUAUUUGCCUGCAAGAAUCUAGAAUCAAUUAAAACUGAGAAAUGGGUAUCUCAAAGGAAUGAUUUGGGUCUAUUACAUUUUUUAUAUGUAUUUACAGGGACAAUACCCCAAAUUAUUUUACAAACAUAUGCUAUAGUCAUAUUAAAUGAAAAUUAUUAUACUAAAGCAUUUGCAUUAACUGCCUCUAUUGCAUCAGUUAUAUGGAGUUGUUCAACAUAUAUUUACAGUACAACAGUAUUUACAUAUGAACAAUUUCAAUGGAAUUCCUUUGCCAUAAAACUUAUGUGGCAUUUUGCCAUUUUAAUUGGAAGGAUACCCAGCAUUUUGUUAUUUACUAUAGUCUUUGGUAUUUGGACUUUAGUGCCAUUAGGUCUACACUGGUCUGUGAUGACAUUUUGGAUUAUUAUGCAGAAAACAUCAUUUUGUUCCAAUAAACUGGAAGAAGCGUUAUAUAAUGUAGUAAUGGGAUUUAUAUAUUGUUUUUGUUACAUUAAUUUAAGGGAAGGUGGAACACGAUAUCGAUUGUUAAUGUUUUAUACACUAAUAGUUAGCCAGAAUUUUGGUGGAUUGCUCCUUUAUGUGUUAAUUUCUGACCUGGACCAACAAAAAAGGUUAUGGUCUAUUACAGCAACAGUAUGUAUAAUAGCAGGGACUAUAAUUGGUAUAACUGCUAUGGUUUUGUACUAUAAAUACUUUCACUUAAAAUCAUUAAGAGAAGAGAAGGAGAAAUCUAAUAGUGACAUUGAAUUAAACAAUAAAGUAAUGAAAGAAAAAUCAGAUGAUAACAAAUCUAUUAACCAUAUAAGAGCAUUUAAAAGUGGACAAAUCACCGAAUUACCAAGGAAAAAAAGAUAUAAAAAAAAGAAAAAUGUAGCAUCGCCAGAAUCAACAUCAAAAAAUGAUACCUAUAAUGCUGAUAAAAGGUUUUUACUAGAUCACUGGAUUGCAAUGUCGAGGACACCAACAUUGACAUCAGCUCAACUAGCUAAUAGUAGCAUGGAUGUUUCAAGUAUUGAAGUAUAUACCGUGGAAAAUACACCACAGUCACAUACACAUGUCGCAUUUAGUGAGAACCCUGAGCAAUUAAACCUUCAUAAACAAAUGAAAAGAUUAAAAACAUUGCCAUCUCCAAAUGAACUAAUACUGAGAUUAUCUAAUAUUCAAAGUAUUGAAAGUUCUAUAGAUGAAAUAACGUCUAAUAGUAUGAACUUACAAAAACGCCGCGGAAUUUGUUCUUCGGAUGAAUUAAGAGAUGAUUUGAAUAAUAUUAAUGUAGAAAAUGAAAGUUUUAUGAAAAAUAUGAAAAUUGACCGAAAUUCAGAAAUAAGUCAAGAUACAGAUGGCUCAAAUAAGAAAACUUCAUCAGAUUCUAUCGAUAUGGAUUUGGAUUUGAGUUUUAGUGACAUUAACAGCUCAGACAUAAAUACUUUUAAUGAAAAUAUUGUACAAAAAUUAUGCUUAAGUGCAUUAAAAAAUAUAAAAGUAGGAAAUCAAGACGCGGAUAUAGAAAAUAUUCAAAGAAUAGCUUUAGAUAUUCUCAAAGAAAUGUAUACUAAAAAGGAUAAAAGUAAAAACAAAGUAAAUAAGGAGACUUUUUUCGCAAAACAACGAGAUUUAGAUACGCCAUCAGAAUUAUUAUCUGUUCAUGAUUAUGAGAAUAUCUGUGCUGUAAAUAUUGCAAGAGAAGCAUGGGGCCUAAGAUCCUGGAAUGGAUAUACGGAUAUAGAAAACUGUCAACAUGAUGGAAGUGUGGUUCGUGAUAGAAGAGGUGAUACAUUUACUUCAGAAAGUUCAGAGAUAAGUAGUUGCUUAUCACAUGAACUAAAAAAUGCUAUUUUAGCAGCUCCACCAUUCCCUAAAAAGACUCCUACUUACUCUAAUAUUUCUGUGAAAUUAGACAGUAGUCAUCAAGAUUAUGUUAACACAGCUAUGUGUCAUUCGAAUGAUGAAAUAUUAGAUAAACCAUGUACAGUGGAUUUUAGUAAAGAUCCAAAUCACUUGGAACCUAUAAUAGAAGAAUUAGAUGAUUUAGGAGAUAUAGAUCCACCAACAAAGAAAAGAUUAAACUCUGAAAGUUCAUUAGUUGCUACCAUAGAUGAAAUCCGAAAAGCAUUUAUAAAUAAUUCACCGCGAAAUUUGUACCACAGAAGGGAACAUUUAUGGGAUUCACCACAGUGUGGAGCGUCAGUUACGAUAGAAAAUACUUUGAAGAGGGCACUUUGGAAAGAACCUUCAAAAUUUGAUUCCAGUAAUAUAAUGGAAUCGCUGCCUGAAAAAGAAAAUGUAAUAGGUGUAUCUCAUGAUUCAAAGUUUCAUUCUAAUGAUGAAUCAAACAUCAUCGAAGAAACUAAUCAAAAUGAUUUAGUUAAUAUGGAAAUUGCAGAAACUUACAACAGAAAUCCUAGACGACGGCAGAAACCAAAUAUUUGUGGUAUUAAAUUACAAAAUAAAACUCUCAAUAACAAACCAGAUCAACGUCUACAAGAUCUUUCAAAUAAAGAUAUAGAUUUUUUAUGGCAAUUAGUGUCUGAAAAUUCUUUACCACAUAGUUCUGCAGAAGAUCUUUCAUCUAAUAGAAUAUCGUCUUCUUUACAAUCAUUGAUACGAAAAGAUCCCUGUAUGUCUUUAGUUAAUGUAUCUGUACCUAAAAUAACAAAUAUAAAAAAAGGAGUUAGAAGUAAACCUAGAAGAAAAUUCUCUAUUUUACGGGAAAGAUUUGAACCUAAAAUUAAUUUAAAUUCUGAUAAAGAAAUUUUGUGUCAUGGUUUAGAAAAUAUAUCAAACCCUUUAGAUAGCAAUUUCAUUAACGUGAUAAAUGAUUUAGAUGCUACAAACGAAAGGAUAAUAUUUGAUUCAAAAACUAAUAGUUCUAGUGUAUAUACCCCUGAUUAUUUAUCUUCCAAAAGCAUCAAAGAGAAAAGAUCUCUAUUUAUGAAACAAGUUCUAAGCCCACCAAAAUUUAAUACUAAGUUAAAACAUAAAAUAUAAACAAAUCAUUAACAAGCUUUUUGUUCCUAAUUUUUAUGUAUAGUUGUAUAUCAUAGUCAUAUAGAAUGAACUUGAACAAAGAUCUCAUGCGGAAAUUAAAUGGAUACAGAUACAGAAGAAAUCUGGAGUAACCUAUUAUCAUAUACUUACUACUACCAAUUGAAGCAAAAAUCAAAACAAUUCAGUGUACACGAAUGGAUGAGAAAAAAGUAACAGAUAUAAAGGUAGACCAUUGUUUCUUAACCGGGGCGUCGCGACCCUCGGGGGUUCACGCUUGUUAUUAAAGGGAUCGCAGUCUGUUUAAAAAUAAUAAGACCUCAAAAGAUUUGUUUAAAUGUAGCAAUGUACGACUUAACUGAUCCGACUACUAAUUAUUCUAUUGGGCGAUUCAUUCGAAAUAUUCGAAUGAUUUUCAAAUACGAGUCGACAAUAUUUUAAAACUUGAUGAAUCGUAUCGUAACUUGAAAUAAUGUAUGUAGCUAUUCUUGUUAAAUUUUUAUAUUUAGAAUUUAAAAUUAAUAGAGAAAAUAGUGACUAAAAAUUAAUUAUAAUUAUAGCCCGUGAUGUUAUCAUUGACUAAAGUACCUUAAUUUCUUGGUAUAGUUAUUUUGGAAACUGAGUUAUUAUUAAGAUAAUAUUACAGGUACUUACCUAUCUGUGAUUUACGAUGUGCCUUUUUAUUUGAUUGUUUCAGCCAGUAUUCAACAUUAGUUAAUUGGUAUUUUCUAUUUUUUUUAAUAGCAAAUAUUAUUGUAAUCUUAAAAGCAUCAUUCCUUUUCGAAUUAUUAGAUAUACCGUUGAACUUCAUUUAAAUAUUUUAAAAUAACAAAUUACUUAUUUUAAUUUGUUAUUUCUAUAUUUUUAAAUGUAUUUGAAUCCUUUAUAAUGUAGGGUGAAAAAG
rnacentral:misc_RNA from 1 species